GCGGGUGUAGUUUAAUGGCAGAACGUGACCUUCCCAAGGUUAAGACGGGAGUUCGAUUCUCCUCACCCGCUCCA
rnacentral:tRNA from 1 species